ensembl:lincRNA Gm29811 predicted gene, 29811
ACAGAAGUCUCCCAUGGAAUGAGCACCACCAUCUUUUACCCAAGUCGGUGCCUGUAUCCCUCUAGUCAACACCACCUGGGAACCUGUUAGAAGACCCUCAAGCUCAGCCUGGACCUAGAGUCAGACCCUGGGGCAGAGCUGCAUUUUGGCUUUCGAGACUCAUCAGCCAUCCGGACGCUGACGGCCGCCCCACCUAAAGCUCGAGGACCUCACUGUGGAGAUGGCCGCUGUGGGUUACAAACAAGAGUGAACCCCCCGUUUUGCCUCAGUUUGUGGAGCAUCUUCCCCUGUCACCUUGGCAGGCCCUGAAGGUUCACCACCAUGUUGGGGUGGCUUCUGAAUCAGGAGAACCUGGGAUGUUUUGCCACCCGUGUGACUUGCAACAUUUUGUAUCUACUCUGAAAAUUUCCCGGCUGGUUUCCAUAGUGUCUUAUUGAGCCCUGCAAUCCAAGGACGUAGAAACUGUUGCUUCCCACGGCAGACUGGAGCUGAAGUGCCUUGCUAAAGAACAUAUCGCUAUUGAAGAGUGGAGAGCCACUUAGACCCCACAGGACAGACUCACAAAGAUCCAACAGAUGUUUCAGUGCAGACGGACUACCAGGUAGGAGGACCAUCCCAGUGUGCUGCUUGACGUGGGAUUCCAGCAGCUCAAGGUGGAACGGAAGCUGCUGAACAGCGGUCAGCAUUUCCAGUGUAAUUUAGUCACAGGGAGCUCAGUAAGGAAGAGCAACACCCUGAACUCCAACUGACCUACAGAGAAGCACUUGACUGCCCAGUGGUCUUUCUAAUCAUUGAGUUGAUGGAACAGCCUAUGGACCACGAGUGUUUCUUCACCACUUCCUUGGUUCUCAUCUCCUCUAAGUACUCUGGUCUUCUUUGAGAUAAAGGAUCACUUUGGUACCCCCAGCCAAUGGGCUGACUAUGGUCUGUACAACUGUGAAGGAUCCACCAGCAGAAGAUGCCCGGGCAUACUGCUCGUCGUCAUUGUUCUCUGUGAUCACUACUCUCUACCACUAGAUAGACUGAAUAGAAUCCAGCACCCAGCUACCAAUCAUGGAGACACCUGCACCAACCUGGAGAGCCUCCAUGAAUGCCUUUGUGCCAGACUUUGCAAUAAUUUCCAAGUUAUGAACGAGGUCAGCCACAAUCAUGCCAAUGCCUGUGUCCACCAAUGUCAGUGUGUAUUCCUAAGGAUUGGGCAUGGUGUCAAUUUUCAGCUUUAACUCUGUCUAACUUGGAAGGGUCUGUGAGGCUCUCAAAGUGAAUUUUGUCUAAAGCAUCAGAAGCAUUAGAGAUCAACUCCUGAAGGAAAAUUCUGUUGUUUGAAUAGAACGUCUUGAUGAUGAGGGACAUGAGUGGAACAGUUUCUACCUGAAAGGCAAAGGUCUCCACCUCUUCCUCUCCAUGGCGCACUUCCUCAGGCAUCCUGACAGGAAAGCUAAGUAGUAGUACAGAGCAGGGUAGACCUAGACUGCAUCGGACUUCAUGCCAAGCCUAGGCUGCACAGGGUUUACUCAGGAGCUUGUUUUCAUUUCUGGCAUGAGUAUUUCUUUGUCAACCUUAAGUAUUAAAUAUUUUAUAAAUUAAAGAUGUCAUGUGAUUCUGUGUUUUGGAAAGUG